AUACGGAGGAUCCGAGCGUUAUCCGGAUUUAUUGGGUUUAAAGGGUGCGCAGGCGGCCAUUUAAGUCAGCGGUUAAAUCGUGGGGCUCAACCCCAUUCUGCCGUUGAUACUGGGUGGCUUGAUUGCGGUCGAGGUUGGCGGAAUUCGUUGUGUAGCGGUGAAAUGCAUAGAUAUGACGAAGAACACCGAUUGCGUAGGCAGCUGACCAGACCGCAAUUGACGCUCAUGCACGAAAGUGCGGGGAUCGAACAGGAUUAGAUACCCUGGUAGUCCGCACAGUAAACGAUGAAUACUUGUUUUCGGCGAUAUAAUGUCGGAGGCAAAGCGAAAGCGAUAAGUAUUCCACCUGGGGAGUACGCCGGCAACGGUGAAACUCAAAGGAAUUGGCGGGG
rnacentral:rRNA from 1 species